GGAGGCAUGGCUCAAGUGGUAGAGCCCCUGCCUAAAAAGCAGAAGUCUUGAGUUCAAACCCUCAGUACUGGCA
rnacentral:tRNA from 1 species